GAUGAACGCUGGCGGCGUGCCUAAUACAUGCAAGUCGAGCGAACAGACGAGGAGCUUGCUCCUCUGAAGUUAGCGGCGGACGGGUGAGUAACACGUGGAUAACCUACCUAUAAGACUGGGAUAACUUCGGGAAACCGGAGCUAAUACCGGAUAAUAUAUUGAACCGCAUGGUUCAAUAGUGAAAGACGGUUUUGCUGUCACUUAUAGAUGGAUCCGCGCCGCAUUAGCUAGUUGGUAAGGUAACGGCUUACCAAGGCAACGAUGCGUAGCCGACCUGAGAGGGUGAUCGGCCACACUGGAACUGAGACACGGUCCAGACUCCUACGGGAGGCAGCAGUAGGGAAUCUUCCGCAAUGGGCGAAAGCCUGACGGAGCAACGCCGCGUGAGUGAUGAAGGUCUUCGGAUCGUAAAGCUCUGUUAUUAGGGAAGAACAAAUGUGUAAGUAACUAUGCACGUCUUGACGGUACCUAAUCAGAAAGCCACGGCUAACUACGUG
rnacentral:rRNA from 1 species